rnacentral:rRNA from 1 species
UACGAAGGGGCUAGCGUUGUUCGGAAUUACUGGGCGUAAAGCGCACGUAGGCGGACAUUUAAGUCAGGGGUGAAAUCCCAGAGCUCAACUCUGGAACUGCCUUUGAUACUGGGUGUCUUGAGUAUGGAAGAGGUGAGUGGAAUUCCGAGUGUAGAGGUGAAAUUCGUAGAUAUUCGGAGGAACACCAGUGGGCGAAAGGG